GCCCCUGUGGUGAAACUGGUAGACGCGCCGGACUCAAAAUCCGGUUCCGCAAGGAGUGUCGGUUCGAGCCCGACCGGGGGCACCA
rnacentral:tRNA from 1 species